GGGAGAUUAGCUCAGCUGGUUCAGAGCACCUGCCUUACAAGCAGGGGGUCACUGGUUCGAACCCAGUAUCUCCCACCAACA
rnacentral:tRNA from 1 species